rnacentral:rRNA from 1 species
AGUGAACGCUGGCGGUAGGCCUAACACAUGCAAGUCGAACGGCAGCACAGUAAGAGCUUGCUCUUACGGGUGGCGAGUGGCGGACGGGUGAGGAAUACAUCGGAAUCUACUUUUUCGUGGGGGAUAACGUAGGGAAACUUACGCUAAUACCGCAUACGACCUACGGGUGAAAGCAGGGGAUCUUCGGACCUUGCGCGAUUGAAUGAGCCGAUGUCGGAUUAGCUAGUUGGCGGGGUAAAGGCCCACCCAGGCGACGAUUCGUAGCUGGACGGAGAGGAUGGUCAGCCACACUGGAGCUUGAACACGGUCCAGAAUCCUACGGGAGGGCGCAGUGGGGAAUAGUGGACAAUGGGCGCGAGCCUGGUACAGCCGGACCACGUGGGUGGAAGAAGCCUCCGGGUUGGAAAGCCCGUUUGUUGGGAAAAAAAAGCAGCAGGUUAAUACCCCGCUGUUCUGACGGUACCCAAAGAAUAAGCACCGGCUAACUUCGUG